CUCGUGGCCGGUCCACGUCUCGUUACCAUACCACGUCUCAUUACCAUACCACGUAUCGUUGCCGUACCACGUGGUGUUGGUGUCGUUGAAGGGUGGGGGCCAGCGCACGCACUUGUGCCGCAGGUUUCCCAUGAAGAGCUGCAGCCCGACCAGGGCAAAGACACUCAGGCAGAAGACGGUGAGGAUCAUCACAUCCGACAGCUUUUUCACCGACUGGAUCAGGGCCCCCACGAUCGUCUUCAGCCCUGACCAUAGGGAGGAGGCCUUGGGGCACCCUUUGGGCCCCGCUCACGCCAUCAUGAUGACACUGAAGUCCAGCCAGUUCCAGGGGUCCCGGAGGAAUGUGAAGUCGUCAAUGCAGAAGCCUCGGGCCAGCAUCUUGAUGAGGGACUCAAAGGUCUGUUUAACGACUGCCACCCAGUCCCCGCCUCUCUUCGCUCGCCUGGGCUCAACCCUGGGCUCCAGACCCACAGAUGGCACAGCCAGCCUGGCACCUCCUCCGGCUGAUCCCAGCGGCCCCAGACGGACUCCUUGUCUCUCCCUUCAAAAUCUGCACUUCACCCUAAAUUUCUCUCCUGCCCUCUUCACCAGCCCUGGAGCCCCUUCACAUCUGGAUGUCUUGGUAUGUGAGAGGGAAAGUGCCCUCCCUGGCUAGGCCAGUUGAGGCACAGUUUUGGUUGGUGUAUACCUGCUCCGUUCCCAGGCCCAGCACCCACGAGGCUCUCCAUCCUCCAGGCUUCAUCACCCCUCACCUGCUCCAUCCAAACCCCCCACCUGCCUCCCUACUCCCCACUGGGCUCCCCUGCAAUCCACCAUCCAAACUGCCAAAGCCACAAAUCCGAUCAAACCCGCCUCCUCCUUCAGUGGCUUCUCACUGCUUAGUAGUGUGUCCACACCCUUCCACCUGGCUCCCCAGGCUUGCCACGAUCCAGUCCCUACCUGACCCCCUCCUCCUGCCCCACACGCGCCCAUCCUCUGGCCAUGCUACGACCGUCCUCACAAAUGGGCCAAGCUGUUUCACACCCACCCCCACACCUUUGCUUAUGGUCUGCUUGCCUCCUGGAACACCGCUUCUUUUUGUCACCCCAGAGAACUUUAAUUUGUCUUUCUAGACUCAACCUCCCUGGGCACCCUGGCUGAAUGGAUUGCUUCUUUGGACCACCAAAGUGCCUAAUACGGAGCAAAAAGGUUAUUGAAUGAGUCAGUGAAUGAAUGAGCGAGUGAAUGAAUGAAUGAAUGAAUUCGAGGAGCCCUCCACCUUUGCCCCUUUCUCCUGUAAACACACCCUGUACCUAAAUCAUGACCAGAGACCACAUCUCCUCUGAUAUCCCCUCCCCCCACCUCCUUCCUCGGUUCACCCUCAGGUGCAAGUGCCCCUUGUCACUGUGAUCCUUGGGCUGCUUCCUGCCCUCACGCCUUUUCUCUGCAUUUUCUCCCUCUCCGACAGAGCCCUCUGACCUCACCUCCCUACGUGUUGUCUCAAUGACAAGAGCCAUCCUUAUAAACCCUCCUCGAAAAUACCUUCGACUCUUGCCUUCUCUCUCCUUCCAUUCCACUCACCUGGGGAAACCCCAGCCCCCCUCUCCCAGCUGUGUUUCUGAAUCAGGCCCUGGGCAGCCGGACGUUGCCAGAGCAAAGACCAGGCCUGGCUGGGUUCACAGGUGACUUUGUGGUUACAAACUCUACCUUUAUCCUCACUUCUGCCCUGGGGAGUGCAGGUUUCUCUGAUGGUUUCACCUCACUUUUCCACUUAAAAAAAUUUUUUUGAGGGUGGGUGAUGGGUAUUGAGGAGGGCACCUUUUGGGAUGAGCACUGCGUGUUGUAUGGAAACCAAUUUAACAAUACAUUUCAUAUAUUGAAAAAAAAUAAAUGCCCACGUAAGUAAUAGUGAAAAAAAAAUUUUUUAAUGUUUAUUUUUGAGAGAGACAGUGAGUGGGGAGGGGUAAAGAAAGAGGGAGACACGGAAUCUGAAGCAGGCUCCAGGCUCUGAGCUAUCAGCACAGAGCCUGACACAGGACUCGAACUCAUGAGCUGUGAAAUCGUGACCUGAGCUGAAGUUGGCUGCUUACCCGACUGGGCCACCCGGGUGCCCCUUGCUUUUCCACUUUUUGAGAAAACUAUUCCAUGCCUUCUCUUCUUUCCUCUAAUCCACCACCCCCCUCCCCGUGAUGCUCUCAGCUGGUGACUUUGCCUCAGUCUUCGAUGAGAACAUAGCAUCGCACCCUAUCUAACCAACAAAACCAUCUUCAUGCCCCGCCCCUUGCCUUCACCAUCCCGCAAAACUGGAAGAAGAAUCACCAAAGGCGAGGCCUUCCACAUGGGCUCAGCCCCGACCCCUCUUGCCUUCCCAAGGACCUCAUUCUCUAGCUAUCUUCUCUCUACCACUGUGAACCUCCUCCUGGCUAUGACCAGGAUCUCCCAUCUUGAAAAUAAUGGCAAUGGUGACAAAAGCUCUCCCGGUCUCAUGCCCCUUCAUCCGUUGCCCUAUUUUUCUAUUUCCUUUCAUGGAGAAGCUUCUUAGAAAGUGUCUACACCAGCUGUCUUUACUUCCUUACCUUUUGUUUGCUCUCUAACCCAUUCCAACCUGGCUUCCAUUUCCCCCACUCAACUGAAAUGGCUUUUGUCAAGUCACUAGCACCCUCUCUGCUGCCAAGUCUGCUGAACACUUUUCUGUCUUCACCUCCCUCAACCUCUCAGAAGCAUUCAACCCAGUUGGCUGCAGCCCCCUUCUGGAAAGCCUCUACUCGCUCAGCCUCCAUGAGAGCAUAGCCACGGCUUCCCUCCUACCUCUCUGGCUGCUCCUUCUCAAUUUCUUUGCUUGUUCCUCUUCCUCUCUUCAAUCUCUAAAGCUUCUCAGGGCCCAGUCUGGGUCUGGAUGGCAUCAUUCUUAGGACUGUAAAUUGUGUCACAGGAAUAUUGUAACAUCUCCUUUGAACUCCAGACUGAUAUAUCCAACUGCCUACUGAACCACUCUUGUGUGGAUAGCUAACAGGCAUCCCAACCUAUGAUAUCUGGAAUGAAACAUUUGCCUUCCUCAACUGUUCCAACCCGCAGGCUUCCCCAACCCAGAAAACAUCUAUCCAUCCAUCUGGUUCCUCCAGUCAAAUAUCAGGGUGCCUCUUUGAAUGCUCUUUUUUUCCUCGCCUUCUACGUCCAGCCCAUCCAAGGUUCCAUUAAUACCAUCUCCAAAAUAUACACAUCCUCCACCUUUUCCCCUUAGACCAUAUCACAAUAAGCUCUCACAAUAACCUGUUUCCUGAUAACUGCUUUUGCCCUGCCCCCCUGCAAACCUGCUCCAUAGAGCAGUUAGUGAUCUGUUAAGAAUAAGAAACUAAUCAUGUUGUUUCUCCUGCUUAAAUUUCUCCAGCAACUUCCUGUUGUGCUUAGAACAAGACCUAAAUGCCUUAUGGUGGCCUACAAGGCCCUGGGGAUCCAGCCCCUGUCUCCCUCUCCACCCUGUCUCCUGAUUCCUCCCUGCUCCCUCUGCCCCAGUCCCACUGGCCUCCUUCCAGCUCCUGGACCACUGGGCUUAUGCUUGCCUUUGGGUUUUACCUGGCCCUGUGCUCCCCUCCCUCUUCACAUGGCUCUUCCAUCUUAUCCCCCCUCCCACCCCCACCCCAGUCUAGGCUCAAAUGUCUCUUCUCCAAGUGGCUUUCUCCUUCUCUACUCUCUAUCACAGUCCUCUGUAUUUUCCUUGACAUCAUAUGUCAUAAUUGGUAAUUACUUAAACAAGUAACUUGCCUAAUUUAUUUGUCUAGACUGAAAUGCCAAGAGGACAGGAACUGUCUGUCUAGGUCACCAUGCCCAGUCCCAGGAUUGGGCACAGAGUAGGCACUCAGUACAUGUUUGCUGAAAGAAUGAGCGGAUGAAAACCUGGAUGCAGACCUUUCCAUGGUUAAAAUGGAUUCCGAUAUGUUUCAUUGUUUCAUCCAUUUGUUCAUUUAUUUAUCCAUCCAUCCAUCCUGUUAAUAAGCCAGAAGCUAAGCUAGCCCCGAACAGGACUUGAAGAUGCACCAGUUGGGCAUCUUGCUUUCUGAGAGCUAGUAGUUAGGGGAAAGGGGACAUGGGGACAUAUAACUAUGACAUGAGAAAUCAAUGCUUACUCUAAACAGGGGAGGUCGUCGUGCUAUGGAAGUUCAGGUGAAUGAAUGGCUACUUCCAGGUCAGAGAAGGAAAGAUGUGGCUUUUCAGUUGGGCCUCAAAGGAUGCUUAAGUUAUAAACACAGAGGAAUGGAGGGGAAUAGUACUCCAGGGAGAGGGAGCAGCCAGAACAAAGACAGAAGCAGGACAUAGGGAGAUGCAUUUGUGUCAGUCUUUGUGGGACACAGAAUCUAUUCAGGGAUUGGGGGAAGGUGGGUUGGGCAGCUGGCUGGCUAUAGCAGGCCUGGGUGUCUGGACUUCACCCUGCAACCCUGGAGAGCCCCUCACAUGGGGCAGUGUGCCCACCCUUUCGAUAUGUCUAGAGUAGACAGGACAAGCUGUGCUAUUUGCAGUGGACACCGGUGGAGGAAUGAAAGGUUUCCUGGGAUGUGUGCACGAUGGCUUCCUGGCAGGGACAAUCACAACAAUGCCCCAUAGCAUGGGUUGGGUGUCAUGCUGGCCCAUCUCCACGUGGCUCUUCCAGCUACAACCUGGAGUAAACGGGGCCAACGUGACAGCUUAAAUCUUCCUUCCACCAGCCAGAGAUUAGACUCUGGUCUCCACCCCAGUCUGUUCCCGAGAUGUGGCAGCUAAGGGCCUGCAGGGGGGGCUCUAUGAAACCUCUUCCC